rnacentral:misc_RNA from 1 species
AAGUCGUAACAAGGUUUCCGUAGGUGAACCUGCGGAAGGAUCAUUACCAAAUCCAAAUACCUAAACCCCAUGUGAACUAUUGUUUAGUCUGUCUUUGGGAGAAAGAUGAAAAGAGGAAAGGAAAGAUAGUAUUUUAAGGAGUUUUAUUCUCUGUUAUUGUCUUCUUUUUUUUUUCCUAGUAGUAUUUCUCCCAAUAGAGUCCGGCGCAAUCGUUUGGUUGUGUCCAGAUUCGAAACCCCUUUUUUAAACCACUUGAUUUUUCUGUUGGAAUUUCUUUUAUUAAUUUUAAAUAAAAGACAACUUUUAACGGUGGAUCUCUUGGCUCGUG